CUCCAGAUGGCCCAAUGUAUUCUACCAAGACCUCGGGAAUUCCCAGCUCCUCUUGUUCCAGCAAGUACUGACUUUCUAACCUGCAGGGCAUCCAGUAAGGAAGGAGAGAGGAAACAGGACAUCUAAUCAAGAAAUAGUAGAAUAGUUCAUCUGUUAGAGACUUAGAUUUGCUGUGGAUGUUCUGAAGGUAGAACUGAAACCAAUGAGUAGGAAUCAAGAAGAGGUAGAUUUCAUCCUCACAAUUAGUGGAAUUUUGCAAUAAUUAAAAUUGCUUGA